rnacentral:lncRNA from 1 species
UCCGCCAAGGCCAACUUCAAAACCUAAACAUUCAAUGUCACACGAGGAAUCGAACUCUUCGAACGAAUUGUGUGGCUUUCAUGUUGUCCUUUGGCUUGACGUCGAAAAAAAUACGAAAUAGGAGUAUGAAAAAUUUGACGUGUGAUUAUAUUCUUUCUGAAAAUAAACCAUAGAAUUUCUCCUAAAGAUGUCCUACCAGUUACUGCUUCAGUUUGUCCGUUGCAGUCGUCUUGUUGGAGAGAAAAAUACAAAUUUUUUCCAUUUAAGGCAAACACAAUUGCUGCUUACCAAAGUAAAGAAUGUGAUAUUUUCCUCCAAUUUCUCUAACAAGUCUUCAUUGCCAGAUUACAAUUAUAAUCUUCCAGGAGAAGGAAAACGCAAGAAACA